rnacentral:tRNA from 1 species
AGCAGGAUGGCGCAGUGGUAGCGCGUUGGGCACAUAACCCAAAGGCCGGGGGUUCGACUCCCUUUCCUGCUC